GCACAGUAGGCAAAAACGGAGAGGGGAGAGAGAGAAACCGAGAAGAACGAGGAAGAAAAAGAGAAAGAAAAGGAGAAAAAGAAGAAGAAAAGAAAGAAAGGAAGGAGGAAAGAAAGGAGAAGAAGAAGGGAAAGAGGUAGUUCAAUGUUUAUCUUCAUUUUUCCUUCCCUUUAUUUUCUUCAAGAUGUAGAUAAAUUUUAUGUUAAGUUGCUAGGGUUUAAUUUGUGGCUAAAAUUUCAUAUUUAUGCAAGAUGAGUACAAAUUGGAGUUCAAGUUUGUUGAUUAUUUAAUUUCCAAUUUCAUUAAGGUAAGAAUACUAAUUUUUGGCAAACCCUAGAUUUUUAUCUGGGAUUCUUAAUUAUGAAAUGUUAGUGGGAAUGAUUAUAUUGAUGGAAAACUCUCACGAAACCAUGAAUUUGAGAAACAAGAUGAAAAAUUAAAAUAGGUGGAAUUAUGGUUACUAGUUUUCAUUAGUUGGAAGGUACAAUUAUUUUUAUGAAUGAGAUGAAGGUAAAUUUGUAUGUAGUGUAUAUUUUGAAGGUAUUAGAAAGCAGAAUUAGCUCUUAUUGAUUAAAGGAAAAUUUGGGAAAAUUAUUCAAAGUAUCGAGAAUUCAAGUUUUAGUAUUCGACUAUUAAUAUUAAGAAAU
rnacentral:lncRNA from 1 species